rnacentral:lncRNA from 1 species
AAGCCUCUUUUUUUUCCGUCUCUCACUCUCUUUCUCUCCAGUCUCCAAGCGUCUGCCUCUCUCUCUCUCACACCAAAUUGGAUUGGGAAUCGAUGUCUUCUCACAAAAUUACCGGUGUUCUUCAGUCCUAGUGUGGAUUUUUGGCUAGAAAGUCCACGGUGUUCUUCAGUUUAUUUGCAAUUUGUCUUUCAUCUUCUCCCAUUUCGAUUUUGUAUAACCAGGUAUUUUUGUAUUUUGUAAAUUACAUGUGGGUUUUCACUUUAUUUUUGUGUUGUUUUGGAUAUUCUCUGUUGGAUUUGAGGUUUCUCUAUGUAUUUGUAGUUUUUUGGUUGAUUUGGGGUUUCUAUGUUGAUUAUAUGCAAUUUAUUAGCUUGAUUUCUCAAUAAACCUAGACUUUUCUGGCAUGCAAUCUUUUUUAUUGCCUCAAUAGUACUUUAAGAAUACAUUACUACUUCGUCGCUUCUUUCAUGUGGCAUGCAAUCUUCUUUAUUGCCUCAAUAACACUUUAAGAAUACAUUACUACUUCGUCGCUUCUUUCAUGUUCUGUCGCUGUGUUUUUUCAGUUUUGGUUAGUUUUUUCUCCAUUAUUUCUUUAAUUGCUGCACUGGUAUGCCUAAUUUUUGCUUAGAGAAGACAACAAAAUAAAUGUAAGCAGAUAGUGACACAUUCCUACUUGUUCUGCAUAUUCAAGCUCUGUUAUGGUACCAAAAAAAAAGAAGAAGAAAUUAUGUUAGUAGUCUAGUUGAAGGCAUCAGUAGUCUAGUUGAAGGCGUCAAUCAACUUAGUAACAGUUAAGUUACAAAAAGAUGUUACAAAUACUUGCUGUUCUUAAUCUAUAAUUCUAUUCUAACUAAAUUUUAUUUUAAGAGUUCAAUGAUUCAUAACUGGCAUACUACACAGGGUCACAGACAUCUGUUCUGGUUUGAUGCAAUUCUCUGUUGUUGCAAUGGCGAUCUUAAUUGUCCAUCGAGUCCUUGUAGCCACUGAUUUAGUAGUGGUAGAUGAGGUCUGUGUACAUAUGUGCUGUCAUGUUCAGGGAAUGAAGCAUGGCUUCUCCUUGUUUGUUGAAUUUGAACACACAUAAUCCUCCAUUAUUUAUAUCCACAGAACGAAACCUGAAUCAAUAUAAAAUUAGACCUGUCAACAAUAGUGGCUGAAGAAAUUACACAUAAUCCUCCAUUAUUUAUAUCUACUGAACGAAACCUGAAUCAAUAUAAAAUUAGACCUGUCAAUAAUAGUGGCUGAAGAAACCAUCUUUUAUAUGUACUACAAUUUAAUUGUAAGAAUAGAUUAAAGAAUACAUGUAAUUUUCAUAGUGACGAAAGAAAGUUUUGGUAUACGCUUGGGUUGAUUUUAAUAUCUGUAGGAACAUUUGGCUUGGCAGCUGUUAAAACUAAAGGGUUAUUUUAAUUUUCUGUGCGGAAUAUCAUUAGAGUUAAUCGUAUAGGGGAUAUGGGAAUAAGAUAACAAGACUCUUUU